CCUACGGGUGGCAGCAGUGGGGGAUAUUGGACAAUGGGGGGAACCCUGAUCCAGCGACGCCGCGUGAGUGAAGAAGGUGCCAAGCAUUGUAAACUUCUUUUGUCAAGGGACAAAAUCAGGCUCGAGAGCCUGACCGAGGGUACUUGAAGAAAAAGCAUCGACUAACUCCGUGCCAGCAGCCGCGGUAAUCCGGGGGAUGCGAGCGUUAUCGGGAUUUAUUGGGUUUAAAGGGUGCGUAGGCGGGCUGUUAAGUCAGCGGUAAAAGCCCGGGGCUAAACCCCGGCGAGCCGUUGAAACUGGCUGUCUUGAGAUGUCGAGAGGUAUGCGGAAUGCGCAGUGUAGCGGUGAAAUGCUUAGAUAUUGCGCAGAACUCCGAUUGCGAAGGCAGCAUACCGGCGGCGAUCUGACGCUGAGGCACGAAAGCGUGGGUAUCGAACAGGAUUAGAUACCCGAGUAGUC
rnacentral:rRNA from 1 species